rnacentral:rRNA from 1 species
CCCUUAGAUGUUCUGGGCCGCGCGCGCGCUACAAUGGUCUUCGCAAACGGAUGCAUUCUCGAAGGAGAAUGCCAAUCUUGGAAUCUAUGCCUUGGUCGGGACAGUUGCUUGCAAUUUUUCGACUCGAACCAGGAAUUCCUUGUAAUCGUGAUUCAUCACAUCACGAUGAAUACGUCCCUGCCCUUUGUACACACCGCCCGUCGCUCCUACCGAUCGAAGAGUUAGGUGAAUUGUUUUGAUCGAUAAGAUUUGACUAUGGUCAACUCUCGUUGUGAAAUUCUGUGAAUCUGACUGUUUAGAGGAAGGAAAAGUCGUAACA